CUAAGGGUUUCCUGCCCAGGUCUCCCCCGGGGCGGGGAACGCGGCGGCCGCGGGGAGGUGCCGCCGGGCUGAGGCGCCGUGAGGCGCUUACAGUGAUUCUGUUUAGCUGUACUGAUGAACUGCUCUCAAUGGAAAAAGCUCCAACCACCAGAGACAUACACGGAUUAGCCAAAAUCUACAAUUCCGACACAGUUGGAAAAUGGGGAGAUUAACUAUGAAAGGACUGAACCAGAAUAUGCGAUCAGAUCAUCUUCUCAAAUACUGUUGAGGAUUGUGAAUCCAUAUCCAACUAUCUUUAUCUCUGACCUUUAAAAGAAACUUUUCAGCACGACUGCAUGUACUGGCAGGAGCAGCAGGAGCAGCAGAAGCAGGAAGAAGAAAACAAAGUGCUGGCAAGUCCCAGCAUUUUACCUGCUGGGGCCUACAUCUGCUUUCAGUGCAGAAUUUUAGCCUUCCAGCAUCUGCUCUAGGCUUAUAUUGCAACCACAGCCGUGGUAAAGAGGGAUGAUCUUGUUGUAGACAUGAUAUGAAAUCUGUAUCUUUUCUCCCAGCAGUUGGUAUGGUUCCAGAAUCCUGCCACAAUGCUCUAUACCUUUUGUUAUUUUGCAGACUCUGAGGCUGACCUGGCCUCUGGAAAGUUGUUGUACUGUUGUCUGUCUGCAUCUUGGUGUCAGAGCCUCAUAAUGCCCCACUAAGAGAUAGAGGAUCUUUAAAUAAAAAUAUUGUACCUGCUGGGGAAGAAAAAGUGCAUGGAUCUUCAGCAGAGUUCAGCAGAGCAGAGUAAUGUCAACCGCAUCCUUUGCUGAAGCAAACAGUUAGCUCAGCUAGCUGCAUUUAGCUGUGCUUCCACUGUACAGUGAUGGCAGAGGCCACAUAGUGCCCUUUAUGCCUUUGGCUCAUGGGCCUUUCCUAUGUUCUAGAACUGAGCUUGGCUUCCCUCCCAGAGGAAGAGAGAGGUACUAUUCUGCCAGCCUGGCUUCAGUAAAAGUAAUGCCUUUCAGGUCAGCCCAAAGCUUUGUAGUUGCCCAGUGCCCCAAGACAGAGCCCUGGUGCAGGUAUGCAGAGAGCUGGCACCAUCUCAGGUAUGCAGAUCCUUUUUGUACGUAUCAUUAAAUAAGAGUAAGGGAAGAAGGGUCUCAGC